GGGGGUGUAGCUCAGGGGGAGAGUAUGUGCUUAGCAUAAUCAAAGCCCUGGGUUCCAUCCCCCACACCCCCC
rnacentral:tRNA from 1 species